AGUGAACGCUGGCGGUAGGCCUAACACAUGCAAGUCGAACGGCAGCACAGAGGAGCUUGCUCCUUGGGUGGCGAGUGGCGGACGGGUGAGGAAUACAUCGGAAUCUACUCUGUCGUGGGGGAUAACGUAGGGAAACUUACGCUAAUACCGCAUACGACCUACGGGUGAAAGCAGGGGAUCUUCGGACCUUGCGCGACUGAAUGAGCCGAUGUCGGAUUAGCUAGUUGGCGGGGUAAAGGCACACCAAGGCGACGAUCCGUAGCUGGUCUGAGAGGAUGAUCAGCCACACUGGAACUGAGACACGGUCCAGACUCCUACGGGAGGCAGCAGUGGGGAAUAUUGGACAAUGGGCGCAAGCCUGAUCCAGCCAUACCGCGUGGGUGAAGAAGGCCUUCGGGUUGUAAAGCCCUUUUGUUGGGAAAGAAAUCCAUCUGGUUAAUACCCGGGUGGGAUGACGGUACCCGAAGAAUAAGCACCGGCUAACUUCGUGCCAGCAGCCGCAGUAA
rnacentral:rRNA from 1 species